GGUCGGGUAGCUCAGUCGGUAGAGCAGUGGAUUGAAAAUCCACGUGUCGACGGUUCGAUUCCGCCUCCGACCACCA
rnacentral:tRNA from 1 species